rnacentral:rRNA from 1 species
UAAGGAAUAUUGGUCAAUGCCCGGAAGGGUGAACCAGCCAUCCCGCGUGAAGGAUGAAGGGGCUCUGCCUUGUAAACUUCUUUUGAAUGGGACGAAAAAGCCUCACUUGUGAGGAACUGACGGUACCAUUAGAAUAAGCACCGGCUAACUCCGUGCCAGCAGCCGCGGUAAUACGGAGGGUGCGAGCGUUAUCCGGAAUCACUGGGUUUAAAGGGUGCGUAGGCGGCUGUAUAAGUCAGUGGUGAAAGGCUGUGGCUUAACCAUGGGAUUGCCAUUGAUACUGUACGGCUUGAAUUAGGAUGAGGUUGGCGGAAUGUGACAUGUAGCGGUGAAAUGCUUAGAUAUGUCAUGGAACAUCGAUUGCGAAGGCAGCUGACUGGACCUUAAUUGACGCUGAGGCACGAAAGCGUGGGGAGCGAACAGGAUUAGAUACCCUUGUAGUCCCUGAGCGGGCUGGCAAGGC